UGUCGGAGUAGAGCGGCCCGGUAGCUCGCCAGCCUCAUAAGCUGGAGGCCGGAGGUUCGAAUCCUCCCUCCGCAACCA
rnacentral:tRNA from 1 species